UACCUUUUGUAUAAUGGGUCAGCGACUUAUAUUCUGUAGCAAGGUUAACCGAAUAGGGGAGCCGGAGGGAAACCGAGUCUUAAUUGGGCGUUAAGUUGCAGGGUAUAGACCCGAAACCCGGUGAUCUAGCCAUGGGCAGGUUGAAGGUUGGGUAACACUAACUGGAGGACCGAACCGACUAAUGUUGAAAAAUUAGCGGAUGACCUGUGGCUGGGGGUGAAAGGCCAAUCAAACCGGGAGAUAGCUGGUUCUCCCCGAAAGCUAUUUAGGUAGCGCCUCGUGAAUUCAUCUCCGGGGGUAGAGCACUGUUUCGGCUAGGGGGCCAUCCCGGCUUACCAACCCGAUGCAAACUGCGAAUACCGGAGAAUGUUAUCACGGGAGACACACGGCGGGUGCUAACGUCCGUCGUGAAGAGGGAAACAACCCAGACCGCCAGCUAAGGUCCCAAAGUCAUGGUUAAGUGGGAAACGAUGUGGGAAGGCCCAGACAGCCAGGAUGUUGGCUUAGAAGCAGCCAUCAUUUAAAGAAAGCGUAAUAGCUCACUGGUCGAGUCGGCCUGCGCGGAAGAUGUAACGGGGCUAAACCAUGCACCGAAGCUGCGGCAGCGACGCUGAUGCGUUGUUGGGUAGGGGAGCGUUCUGUAAGCCUGCGAAGGUGGCCUGUGAGGGUUGCUGGAGGUAUCAGAAGUGCGAAUGCUGACAUAAGUAACGAUAAAGCGGGUGAAAAGCCCGCUCGCCGGAAGACCAAGGGUUCCUGUCCAACGUUAAUCGGGGCAGGGUGAGUCGACCCCUAAGGCGAGGCCGAAAGGCGUAGUCGAUGGGAAACGGGUUAAUAUUCCCGUACUUGGUGUUACUGCGAAGGGGGGACGGAGAAGGCUAUGUUGGCCGGGCGACGGUUGUCCCGGUUUAAGCGUGUAGGUGUGUGUUCCAGGUAAAUCCGGUUCACUUUAACACUGAGGCGUGAUGACGAGGCACUACGGUGCUGAAGCAACAAAUGCCCUGCUUCCAGGAAAAGCCUCUAAGCAUCAGGUAACAUCAAAUCGUACCCCAAACCGACACAGGUGGUCAGGUAGAGAAUACCAAGGCGCUUGAGAGAACUCGGGUGAAGGAACUAGGCAAAAUGGUGCCGUAACU
rnacentral:rRNA from 1 species